MAAAAACGACUCUCGGCAACGGAUAUCUCGGCUCUCGCAUCGAUGAAGAACGUAGCGAAAUGCGAUACUUGGUGUGAAUUGCARAAUCCCGUGAACCAUCGAGUCUUUGAACGCAAGUUGCGCCCGAAGCCGUCAGGCCGAGGGCACGUCUGCCUGGGCGUCACG
rnacentral:rRNA from 1 species